rnacentral:rRNA from 1 species
GCAAGUCUGGUGCCAGCAGCCGCGGUAAUUCCAGCUCCAGUAGCGUAUAUUAAAGUUGUUGAGGUUAAAAAGCUCGUAGUUGAACCUUGGGCCUAGCCGGCCGGUCCGCCUCACCGCGUGCACUGGCUCGGCUGGGUCUUUCCUUCUGGAGAACCGCAUGCCCUUCACUGGGUGUGCUGGGGAACCAGGACUUUUACUCUGAAUAAAUUAGAUCGCUUAAAGAAGGCCUAUGCUCGAAUACAUUAGCAUGGAAUAAUAGAAUAGGACGCGUGGUUCUAUUUUGUUGGUUUCUAGGACCACCGUAAUGAUUAAUAGGGAUAGUCGGGGGCGUCAGUAUUCAAUUGUCAGAGGUGAAAUUCUUGGAUUUAUCGAAGACUAACUACUGCGAAAGCAUUUGCCAA